AGGGCUGACGAAAAAACGGACCCG
rnacentral:siRNA from 1 species